rnacentral:rRNA from 1 species
UAAAACGUAGGUGGCGAGCGUUAUCCGGAUUUACUGGGCGUAAAGCGUGUGCAGGCGGCUUGUCAAGUGGUGUAUGAAAUAUCCAGGCUCAACCUGGAGGGGUUAUGCCAGACUGGCAGGCUGGAGUGCGAGAGAGGGGCGUGGAAUUCCGGGUGUAGUGGUGAAAUGCGUAGAGAUCCGGAGGAACC